AAAACUGUUAUUUUUAAAGCAGGUUUUUUUUACUGCGCAUGCGCGAAAAUCCCUUCCGCAUUCUCCCUCGCCCACCUCUCCC